CACAACACGCUCCGUUAAGAUUCAGUUUACUAGCGUGUGUGUGUUUUUUCCCCCUCUUGUUUAUCGCCACCAACACGCCUCGAAAGGCGUGCAAGUGCGUUUUGGCGUUCCCCACAAACAUGCUUCCCAUUCUCUAUGCUCCCACAAUGCCACGGCCAAUUGUUAAACCAAUCGCUUUCUUCCCCCUCCAGCCCUCGCAGCCAUCAGCCAUGUGAGGGGCCUUUGUAUAUAAGCACCACUCUGUUCUUCAGUCUCUUGGCUUCCUUCCCUUGCCUUGCCCUGCUCUCUCUCUCUCUCUCUCUCUCUCUCUCUCUCUCUCUCUCUCUCUCUCUCUCCUGCAAGCCGCCAAGCCUCCAGUCCUCCCUUCCAGUAAAGCUCACUCUCUGGAAGACACAGCCAGCAGCUAGCCCUUCUUGCUUCCCCUCGCCGUCCCCUUGUCGGAAUGGAGUUCAGGGCGAGCUCUAGAAGGAGUACCUGGCCAAUGUGCGGCGACAGAGGAAAGGAGCCGGACGGAAGGCCGCACAGAUAGGGGAGAAGGGUGCGCGCCUUGGGCUCCCACUGCCGGCUGGACCUCGUGCUCGCUCGACCCGCGAGCUGAGCACGGGGAGAAGACGACGCAGAUGGUGUGAGCUUCGUGGGGAAUUGAGGCUUGAUGGUCCGAGAUAUAUAUCUCUCUCUUAGGUGCGUGCUUGCAGUGCCAGGAGAUCUCAAUGGUCCUCUAAGCAAUGUAAUAAUAAUACUGGUAGAGGCAGUACCAAGUUGGGAAUGCAGCGGUUGCAUUUUGUGAUGCCUUGUAGUCACUCUGUCUCUGUGAUAUUGCAUUCAUGUGUUCCCUGCUGGCAGAAACUUUCAGGAAAUGCCAGCAGGAAAUGCGCUUAAUUAGUCGGUAUCUCUUUCGAAUUCAAUAUUCAGAAGCGUUUUUUUAUUUGGUCUUGCAAUGCAAACAGUCUGUGAAUUAGUUGCAGGAGUAGAAGCAAGUGCCGAGCAGCUGGAAGUUGGGUAAAAGCGCUAGAUUCUUGAGUCUGCUAGUUUUCUUUUCACUUGAUAAACCUCAGAAGCAAUGUUGUACUGAGUUUGCGACGCAUGAUGGGCAUAAAUGGACCGGUUUAUUUUGUCC